rnacentral:rRNA from 1 species
UAACGCGUGGGUAUAUGCCUAUCAGUGGGGAAUAACGACGGGAAACUGUCGCUAAUACCGCAUACGCCCUUAGGGGGAAAGAUUUAUCGCUGAUAGAUGAGCCCGCGUACGAUUAGCUAGUUGGCGAGGUAAUGGCUCACCAAGGCUACGAUCGUUAGCUGGUCUGAGAGGAUGAUCAGCCACACUGGGACUGAGACACGGCCCAGACUCCUACGGGAGGCAGCAGUGGGGAAUAUUGGACAAUGGGCGAAAGCCUGAUCCAGCAAUGCCGCGUGAGUGAUGAAGGCCUUAGGGUUGU